CCGUCAAUUCCUUUGAGUUUUAGCCUUGCGGCCGUACUCCCCAGGCGGGGCACUUAAUGCGUUAGCUACGGCACGGAAGGAGUCGACACCUCCCACACCUAGUGCCCAUCGUUUACGGCGUGGACUACCAGGGUAUCUAAUCCUGUUUGCUCCCCACGCUUUCGCGUCUCAGCGUCAGUAUCGUCCCAGAGACCCGCCUUCGCCACCGGUGUUCUUCCUGAUAUCUGCGCAUUUCACCGCUACACCAGGAAUUCCAGUCUCCUCUUCCGGACUCAAGCCACGCAGUUUCCAAUGCAGACUCGGAGUUGAGCCCCGAGCUUUCACAUCGGACUUGCAUGGCCGCCUACACGCGCUUUACGCCCAAUGAUUCCGGACAACGCUCGCCCCCUACGUAUUACCGCGGCUGCUGGCACGUAGUUAGCCGGGGCUUCCUCUGGAGGUACCGUCACCCUCUCGGCUAUUCACCUGAGUGGCUUCGUCCCUCCUGACAGAGCUUUACAACCCGAAGGCCGUCUUCGCUCACGCGGCGUUGCUGCGUCAGGCUUCCGCCCAUUGCGCAAGAUUCCCCACUGCUGCCUCCCGUAGGAGU
rnacentral:rRNA from 1 species